UACGUAGGUGGCAAGCGUUGUCCGGAAUUACUGGGCGUAAAGCGCACGGAGGCGGACUAUUAAGUCAGGGGGGAAAUACCUGAGCUCAACUCCGGAACUGCCUUCGAUACUGGUAGUCUAGAGACCGAGAGAGGUAAGUGGAACUCCUAGUGUAGAGGUGGAAUUCGUAGAUAUUAGGAAGAACACCAGUGGCGAAGGCGGCUUACUGGCUCGGAACUGACACUGAGGUGCGAAAGCGUGGGGAGCAAACAGG
rnacentral:misc_RNA from 1 species